AGUGUAGCAGUUAUUACAUUAAACGAAAAUAGCAUAAAUAGGGCUGGGUGCUGGCACAUCUGAGAUCUGAGACCUAAGCCCAAGCAGUGAUGGAGAGAGAAAUGAGAAUCUUUCUACCAAAUCUUUCAAAGUUGGUUUCACAGUUACAGCUUGCCCAGGCUGAGGUGUGCAAGGAGAGAGAAACCAAGGACACCUGAGACAGGAGCUGGGACCUGGCCAGGGCUUGGUCACAGGUGACGAUCAGAACCCUUGUUCCAAGAAUCCCUGGCCCCAGCAGCCACUGGGUGGCACAAGACCCAGGGUCGUGAAGAGAGAACGAGUGUUGGGGCCAGCCCAAGUGACAGCUGAAAACAAAACAUCGGACUGGUAACAGAGGCAUGACCAGAGAAAGAGAGAGAAAGCUAGGAACCAGGGUGCACAGAACCAGCCAGAAAAAUAAGCAGCCUGUAAAAGGAAAUUGGCAGAGUUGGGAAUUAGACUCAAAAAACAGUAGCAUUUCAAAUGAGAGAGGAGACGCUGUGAAUGUCAUUUAAUGGGCAUCAAAUCAGGGCCAUCACAAAACGGGGCUGAUGGCUGACUUCAUGGGCACCGGGAACCUCGCCUGGAAGGCUUAGCACUGGCUGAUGGUGGUAGUCGUCAUGAUUAUAAUGAUGAGGAGGAAGAGAACAGAACGUGAUAUCCAAAUAGCACCAUGCCCUCUACACUGGACGUUCAUUGUGACAAACCCCAAGGAGGGACUACAUACUCAGAAGACUCAAUAUUGUUAAGACGUCAAUUGCCCCAAAUUCGUCUAUAGAUUCAAUGCAAUUACAAUUAAAAUCCCACCAUGCCUUAAUGAAUAAAUUGUAAAGCUUAUUUUAAAAUCCAUGUGGAUGUGUGGUGACGGACUUAUAAGUAGUCUUUGGGUGGUGAACAUGAGGUAAUCUACGCAGAAUUCAAAAUAUAUUAUGAUGUGCAUAUGAAAGUUAUAUAAUGUUAUAAUCCAAUGUUACUGCUAUAAAAACAAAAAUUAAAAUUUAAAAAAGAUAAAAAAUUAAAAAAUAAAAUAAAAUCCAUCUGGAAAUGCAUAGGAACUUGAAUAUACAAAACAAUGUUGGGAAAAAAACAAAGUUGGAGGACUUAUUCUGCAUGAUUUCAAGACUUCUCAUAAAGUU
rnacentral:lncRNA from 1 species